AAAUCGUUUUUUUCAUUAGCUUCGUACUAUUGGUGCUAGUUUCUGGCGCUUUGAUUGGUGUUUUUGAAAAAGAUUUAUGCUCGGGAUCGUUUAUUUUCAUUGUUUUUGGAAUAAUAAUAUGCCUAACUCUUUUAAUCCUGUUCCUCAGAAGAAUCAAAGAUGUCAAAGAAGAGUUAAAUGGAUCAGCUGAUGAAACAAUAUCGGUGGUUAGCGCAGACGUAAAUGAUUUAGUUGACGAGGGAUCAAGUGGUUUAAAUUGUGUUGAUGACGAAGGAGCAAAUGAUUAAGAAGAAGAAGGAGCGAUUAAUUCAAAUGAUAUUUACGUACAAAGAACUUGUAUUUUCGGUGGACAGUAAACGAGGUGGUUCCCUCUCGGAGAAUAAUCAUUUGACCCGAUGUAAAAAACCAAAAAUGAUUGUCAGACUGUUCAAGGUGGAUUUAUAGAAAAAAACAUAUGUCACAAAUGUUACGUGUGUGUAUUUGCUUUAAGUUCUUUAUGCAUUUUAUAGAAUAGCAAUGUUAAGUUAUAUGCCACUGUCUCUUUGUUCUACUUUAUAUAAGAAAGUGUUU